rnacentral:rRNA from 1 species
UGCAAGUCGAGGGGCAGCAUGAAAUUUAUUUAUUUAGAUUUUGAUGGCGACCGGCGGACGGGUGCGUAACACGUAUGUAACCUACCUUUUUCUAGAAAAUAGCCUGAGGAAACUUGGAUUAAUAUUCUAUAAUACAGUAUUUUCGCAUGAAAAUAUUAUUAAAGCAGAAAUGCGGAAAAAGAUGGGCAUGCGCCCGAUUAGUUAGUUGGUGGGGUAAAGGCCUACCAAGACGAUGAUCGGUAGGGGGCCUGAGAGGGUGAUCCCCCACACUGGUACUGAGAUACGGACCAGACUCCUACGGGAGGCAGCAGUGAGGAAUAUUGGUCAAUGGAGGAAACUCUGAACCAGCCACGCCGCGUGCAGGAAGAAUGCCUUAUGGGUUGUAAACUGCUUUUGUUUAGGAAUAAAAAUUUCUACGUGAUAGAAAUUGUGAAGGUACUAAACGAAUAAGUGUCGGCAAACUCCGUGCCAGCAGCCGCGGUAAUACGGAGGACACAAGCGUUAUCCGGAUUUAUUGGGUUUAAAGAGUGCGUAGGCGGUUUAUUAAGUCAGUAGUGAAAUGUUACAGCUUAACUGUUAAAAUGGCUAAUGAUACUGAUAGACUUGAGUGAGAUUGGAGUAACUGGAAUGUGUGGUGUAGCGGUGAAAUGCAUAGAGAUCACACAGAACACCGAUCGCGAAAGCAGGUUACUAAAUCUAUACUGACGCUGAGGUACGAAAGCGUGGGGAGCAAACAGGAUUAGAUACCCUGGUAGUCCACGCCGUAAACGAUGAUCACUAGUCGUUGGAUUUUAUUAUUCAGUGGCUAAGCGAAAGUGAUAAGUGAUCCACCUGGGGAGUACGAUCGCAAGGUUGAAACUCAAAGGAAUUGACGGGGGCCCGCACAAGCGGUGGAGCAUGUGGUUUAAUUCGAUGAUACGCGAGGAACCUUACCAAGGUUUAAAUGUACUACGAAUAAGCUAGAAAUAGUUUAGUCUUCGGACGGAGUACAAGAUGCUGCAUGGUUGUCGUCAGCUCGUGCCGUGAGGUGUUGGGUUAAGUCCCUCAACGAGCGCAACCCUCAUUGUUAGUUGCCAACGAAUAAUGUCGGGGACUCUAGCAAGACUGCCGACGUAAGUCGAGAGGAAGGUGGGGACGACGUCAAAUCAUCACGGCUCUUAUACCUUGGGCUACACACGUGCUACAAUGGUCGGUACAAAGGGUUGCUAUUGAGUAAUCAUAAGCUAAUCUCUAAAAACCGUAUCUCAGUUCGGAUUGGAGUCUGCAACUCGAC